rnacentral:rRNA from 1 species
ACUCCUACGGGAGGCAGCAGUGGGGAAUAUUGCACAAUGGGCGCAAGCCUGAUCCAGCCAUGCCGCGUGUCUGAAGAAGGCCUUCGGGUUGUAAAGGACUUUUGUCAGGGAGGAAAUCCCUAGCGCUAAUAUCGCUGGGGGAUGACAGUACCUGAAGAAUAAGCACCGGCUAACUACGUGCCAGCAGCCGCGGUAAU